rnacentral:rRNA from 1 species
GAUGAACGCUGGCGGCGUGCUUAACACAUGCAAGUCGAACGGUGAACGAGGGAGCUUGCUCCCUCCGGAUCAGUGGCGAACGGGUGAGUAACACGUGAGCAAUCUGCCCUGGACUCUGGGAUAAGCGUUGGAAACGACGUCUAAUACCGGAUACGAGGCGUGGGGGCAUCCCCAACGCCUGGAAAGAACUUCGGUCCAGGAUGAGCUCGCGGCCUAUCAGCUUGUUGGUGAGGUAACGGCUCACCAAGGCGACGACGGGUAGCCGGCCUGAGAGGGUGACCGGCCACAGUGGGACGGAGACACGGCCCAGACUCCUACGGGAGGCAGCAGUGGGGAAUAUUGCACAAUGGGCGCAAGCCUGAUGCAGCAACGCCGCGUGAGGGACGACGGCCUUCGGGUUGUAAACCUCUUUUAGCAGGGAAGAAGCGAAAGUGACGGUACCUGCAGAAAAAGCACCGGCUAACUACGUGCCAGCCGCCGCAGUAAGAC